GCCGGGGUGGCGAAACUGGCAUCCGCGAGAGACUUAAAAUCUCUUGUCCCGAAAGGGACGUGUGGGUUCGAGUCCCACCCCCGGCA
rnacentral:tRNA from 1 species